rnacentral:rRNA from 1 species
GUGUCAGCAGCCGCGGUAAUACGAAGGAUCCGAGCGUUAUCCGGAAUUAUUGGGUUUAAAGGGUCCGUAGGCGGGCCAAUAAGUCAGCGGUGAAAUCUUUCGGCUUAACCGGAAGCUUGCCGUUGAAACUGUAGGUCUAGAGUAGUUGUGUUGUGGUUGGAACGUGCAGUGUAGUGGUGAAAUACAUAGAUAUUGCGCAGAACACCGAUUGUGAAGACAGAUCACAAACAAUUUACUGACGCUGAGGGACGAAAGCGUGGGGAGCAAACAGGAUUAGAUACCCUGGUAGUCCACGCCGUAAACGAUGGUCACUAGCUGUUCGGCACAAUUGCGUGCUGAGUGGUUGAGCGAAAGUAUUAAGUGACCCACCUGGGGAGUACGUUCGCAAGAAUGAA